AUACGGAGGGAGCAAGCGUUACUGGGAAUCACUGGGCGUAAAGCGCGCGCAGGCGGUCUUUUAAGUUGGAUGUGAAAGCCUACGGCUCAACCGUAGAACUGCAUCCAAAACUAUUAGACUAGAGUGUGGGAGAGGAAGAUGGAAUUAGUUGUGUAGGGGUAAAAUCCGUAGAGAUAACUAGGAAUACCAAAAGCGAAGGCAAUCUUCUGGAACACUACUGACGCUGAGGCGCGAAGGCGUGGGGAGCAAACAGGAUUAGAUACCCCUGUAGUCC
rnacentral:rRNA from 1 species